UACGUAGGGACCAAGCGUUGUCCGGAAUCAUUGGGCGUAAAGAGCGUGUAGGCGGCUUGUUAAGUCUUGCGUGAAAUCUCGGGGGCUCAACCCCGAGCGGUCGUGAGAAACUGGCAGGCUAGAGUGCGGGAGAGGAGAGUGGAAUUCCUGGUGUAGCGGUGAAAUGCGCAGAUAUCAGGAAGAACACCCGUGGCGAAGGCGGCUCUCUGGAACGCAACUGACGCUGAGACGCGAAAAGCGUGGGGAGCAAACAGG
rnacentral:rRNA from 1 species